UACGUAGGUGGCAAGCGUUUGUCCGGAAUUAUUGGGCGUAAAGCGCGCGCAGGCGGCCUCUUAAGUCUGAUGUGAAAGCCCCCGGCUCAACCGGGGAGGGCCAUUGGAAACUGGGAGGCUUGAGUAUAGGAGAGAAGAGUGGAAUUCCACGUGUAGCGGUGGAAAUGCGUAGAGAUGUGGAGGAACACCAGUGGCGAAGGCGACUCUUUGGCCUAUAACUGACGCUGGAGGCGACGAAAGCGUGGGGAGCAAACAGG
rnacentral:rRNA from 1 species